rnacentral:rRNA from 1 species
AUUGAACGCUGGCGGCAUGCCUUACACAUACAAGUCGAACGGCAGGGGGGGAGAAGCUUGCUUUUCCUGCCGGCGAGUGGCGAACGGGUGAGUAAUACAUCGGAACGUGCCCUGUAGUGGGGGAUAACUAGUCGAAAGAUUAGCUAAUACCGCAUACGACCUGAGGGUGAAAGUGGGGGACAGCAAGGCCUCAUGCUAUAGGAGCGGCCGAGGUCUGAUUAGCUAGGUGGUGGGGUAAAGGCCUACCAAGGCGACGAUCAGUAGCUGGUCUGAGAGGACGAUCAGCCACACUGGGACUGAGACACGGCCCAGACUCCUACGGGAGGCAGCAGUGGGGAAUUUUGGACAAUGGGCGAAAGCCUGAUCCAGCAAUGCCGCGUGUGUGAAGAAGGCCUUCGGGUUGUAAAGCACUUUUGUCCGGAAAGAAAUGGCUCUGGUUAAUACCUGGGGUCGAUGACGGUACCGGAAGAAUAAGGACCGGCUAACUACGUGCCAGCCGCCGCUGUAA